rnacentral:rRNA from 1 species
GGACUACCCGGGUAUCUAAUCCUGUUUGCUCCCCACGCUUUCGCGCCUCAGCGUCAGUGUCGGUCCAGUGAGCCGCCUUCGCCACCGGUGUUCUUCCCAAUAUCUACGAAUUUCACCUCUACACUGGGAAUUCCACUCACCUCUCCCGAACUCAAGCACUACAGUAUCAAGUGCAAUUCCCGGGUUGAGCCCAGGGCUUUCACACCUAACUUGUAGCGCCGCCUACGCGCCCUUUACGCCCAGUAAUUCCGAACAACGCUAGCCCCCUUCGUAUUACCGCGGCUGCUGGCAC